rnacentral:rRNA from 1 species
UACGUAGGUGGCAAGCGUUGUCCGGAAUUAUUGGGCGUAAAGCGCGCGCAGGCGGUCCUUUAAGUCUGAUGUGAAAGCCCACGGCUCAACCGUGGAGGGUCAUUGGAAACUGGGGGACUUGAGUGCAGGAGAGAAGAGUGGAAUUCCACGUGUAGCGGUGAAAUGCGUAGAGAUGUGGAGGAACACCAGUGGCGAAGGCGACUCUUUGGCCGUGAUGAAC